rnacentral:rRNA from 1 species
GACGAACGCUGGCGGCGUGCCUAAUACAUGCAAGUAGAACGCACAGUUUAUACCGUAGCUUGCUACACCAUAGACUGUGAGUUGCGAACGGGUGAGUAACGCGUAGGUAACCUGCCUGGUAGCGGGGGAUAACUAUUGGAAACGAUAGCUAAUACCGCAUAAUAUUAAUUAUUGCAUGAUAAUUAAUUGAAAGGUGCAAUUGCACCACUACCAGAUGGACCUGCGUUGUAUUAGCUAGUAGGUGAGGUAACGGCUCACCUAGGCGACGAUACAUAGCCGACCGUAGAGGGGGAUCGGCCACACUGGGACUGAGACACGGCCCAGACUCCUACGGGAGGCAGCAGUAGGGAAUCUUCGGCAAUGGACGAAAGUCUGACCGAGCAACGCCGCGUGAGUGAAGAAGGUUUUCGGAUCGUAAAGCUCUGUUGUAAGAGAAGAACGGGUGUGAGAGUGGAAAGUUCACACUGUGACGGUAUCUUACCAGAAAGGGACGGCUAACUACGUG